UAGAGAUUUAACUGCUGUUUAUACUCUCUAACUUUGAACUUUCAGGUAAAUGUGAGUCAGUAAAAUCAGUGAUUAAGCGAAUCAGAAAGAAAAUAUUCUGAUGAAUUACUUACAGUACCUUAGGCCUUGAAAUUUUGAAAGUUACCCACACAAUUAACACACAUGCAGGUAACGAACAGAGCUUUUAGGCUGCAUGAGCGUUAGAUGUUUUGUGGGCAUGCAAUUAUAUGUUGCAUCCAUUUAGCCCACAAAGACCUGCUAAACACCUGUAUGAUAUGCCAAGUCUUGUGCUGGCUAUUUUCUAUGGGAAUUAAAGCUCCAUUCAAGAAAUUUCCACCUUUUCCAUCACCAAAGCACCCCUCAGACAGUUGAUCCUCAGAGUCAUGUGUUUUGAAAGAUCCUAUCUAUUAUAUAGGCUUUUUCAGAAUAUGAAAAAUAGCUUUUGAAUGGUCAGUAUAAUUUUGAGAUGUUCCUAUAGGUUUAGGGAUCUUGAUAAGAGAACUGAUCAUCUUGUUGUUGUUGUUCAUUUGUUUUGUUUUGUUUUUAUUCAGAGCAUGAAUUUUUUAUUAAGCUGUAUGUCUGUGUGACUGUAGUGGUGUCUAAUUUUGUCAUCACAGCUGUGCCAGUAUUCUUUGUGUGUUUGUUUUCUAGAUUCUCCUUGCUCAGGUUACCUCUUCCAUCUCCUCUCUAGAAGUCUUGCUGAUCCAACCUUUUCCACUGUGCUUCCUCUGUGGCAGUAACCUUUGAAAUGCUAACAUAAAUAAACUCACCCUUAGUAUAGGUGCGCACAAAGGACAGACACACACACACACAUACACACACACACACACACACAAUCAUUCACUGAGAGAGAAAAUAAAGCAAAGAGAAGGCUCCUGCCUCUCAGGAGUCAUUGUCCUUAAAAUAGUGAUCUCCAUGCUGUUUGAUUGUUCACCCCCAUAAGAACUUUUU
rnacentral:lncRNA from 1 species